rnacentral:misc_RNA from 1 species
CGCACAUUGCGCCCGCCAGUAUUCUGGCGGGCAUGCCUGUUUGAGUGUCUUGAAAUCAUCAAACCGAACCGGUCUUUGUUGCCGGUGCGGUUUGGACUUGGGGGUUUCUAUUGCUGCCGCUCGCGGUGGCUCCCCUUAAAUAGAUCGGUCGGGCUUUCGUGCGGCUCUGUCCCUUGGCGUUGUAUUACCCUCGUCUUGGACGGCUCGCGAUUCAAUGGCCCUUCUCUGACUUGCCUCUGGAGUGGCGGUCUACAACUUUGUGAUCUGACCUCAAAUCAGGUAGGACUACCCGCUGAACUUAA